UAGGGGGCAAGCGUUAUCCGGAAUUACUGGGUGUAAAGGGAGCGUAGACGGUUAAGUAAGUCUGGAGUGAAAGGCAGGGGCCCAACCCCUGGACUGCUCUGGAAACUAUUUAACUUGAGUGCAGGAGAGGUAAGCGGAAUUCCUAGUGUAGCGGUGAAAUGCGUAGAUAUUAGGAGGAACACCAGUGGCGAAGGCGGCUUACUGGACUGUAACUGACGUUGAGGCUCGAAAGCGUGGGGAGCAAA
rnacentral:rRNA from 1 species